UGGUGAAACUUUCCAGUCGCUGGCGUAUGCUACCAGAAUAGCACCAAAUACUCUAUCACAGAUAAUUCCGGACACCCUUCAAGCAAUAUUAAACAAUUUGGAGGAUACUUGUAUAAAGGUUCCAGCCUCUACUAGCGAGUGGAAAACUAUUGCUCAUUCAUUUAAUACUACAAAGGAAACAACAGCAUUGUUCUUCUCGCAAUUGUUGAUGCACACUAUAAAUAUGUAUAUGUAAAUAUUGGUGCAAAUGGGAGGGUGAAUGAUGGGGCAAUUUUCAAUAACAGUAAAUUGGCUGAAGCCUUGAAUAAUAAAAAACUGAACUUGCCAGCACCAGAGAAGAUAGAGUGUUUCAGUGAUGUGGAACUGCCUUAUGUGUUUGUUGCCGACGAUGCAUUUGCAUUGAAAGAGUAUAUGAUGAAGGGGUAUCCCGAAAGAGACCUCUCAAAGGAAAAAAGGGUGUUCAAUUAUAGACUGAGCAGGGCUCGAAGAGUCGUUGAAAAUGCAUUUGGCAUGAUGUCAAAUAAAUUUGGGGUUCUGCUCACUCCUAUUCGACUUUCAGCAAAGAAGGUGGAUAUUGUUAUAAGAGUUUGUUGUGUGCUGCACAAUUUUAUUUUAGAACAGAAAUCCCAAUGCUAUAUUCCACCUGAAAUUGGCAACAGCACAUAUGCAUCUACUAUGGAAGGCAUUCAGCAGCAAAAUGGACGGAAUCCUACAGUAAAUGCAUUGAGGAUUAGGGACCAAUUCAGGAACUACUUCAACACUGUAGGUUCUGUGCCAUGGCAACAGGAGUGUGUUGAUGCAGGAAGGUGGUAGAUAAAUGUUAAAGCUCAAUAACAGCUCAUGGGUUGUAAUGAAAUACUU